rnacentral:rRNA from 1 species
UCGGGAAUAUUGCGCAAUGGAGGAAACUCUGACGCAGUGACGCCGCGUGCAGGAAGAAGGUUUUCGGAUUGUAAACUGCUUUAGACAGGGAAGAAAAAGACAGUACCUGUAGAAUAAGCUCCGGCUAACUACGUGCCAGCAGCCGCGGUAAUACGUAGGGAGCAAGCGUUAUCCGGAUUUAUUGGGUGUAAAGGGGUGCGUAGACGGGAAGACAAGUUAGUUGUGAAAUCCCUCGGCUUAACUGAGGAACUGCAACUAAAACUAUCAUUCUUGAGUGCUGGAGAGGAAGUGGAAUUCCUAGUGUAGCGGUGAAAUGCGUAGAUAUUAGGAGGAACACCAGUGGCGAAGGCGACUUUCUGGACAGUAACUGACGUUGAGGCACGAAAGUGUGGGGAGCAAACAGGAUUAGAUACCC